rnacentral:lncRNA from 1 species
UCGAGGGAGAAUCUCAUAGGUGACAAUGUGAUGUACGACUUUAGGUAUGGUAGUGAGGUCACUGGUCAUAAGCCUAGAGGGCUCCUCACGCUCGGUAUCUCCUGAAAUAAUCCUAGUCUGGUGAAGGGAAGAGAUCUCACCAGUGAUCCACUUAUGAGUAGUGGAGACGACAGCCCCAGAGUUACUGAUGCCUAGGUGCUGAGCUAUGAUGGCAGGAGUGAGGUAAACUCGCAGACCAUUAACAAAACUGACCAGGUGGGGGGGAGUGUGACGUGUGAAGGUGUGUAGGUUAGCAUAAAACUCCCUAACUAGCCUAGGGUGAGUGUCUGAGGGAGUGAUCAGAAGAUGCUCCCAACCCUG